GAUGAACGCUGGCGGCGUGCCUAAUACAUGCAAGUCGAGCGAACGGACGAGAAGCUUGCUUUUCUGAUGUUAGCGGCGGACGGGUGAGUAACACGUGGAUAACCUACCUAUAAGACUGGGAUAACUUCGGGAAACCGGAGCUAAUACCGGUUAAUAUUUUGAACCGCAUGGUUCAAAAGUGAAAGACGGUCUUGCUGUCACUUAUAGAUGGAUCCGCGCUGCAUUAGCUAGUUGGUAAGGUAACGGAUUACCAAGGCAACGAUGCAUAGCCGACCUGAGAGGGUGAUCGGACACACUGGAACUGAGACACGGUCCAGACUACAACGGGAGGCAGCAGUAGGGAAUCUUCCGCAAUGGGCGAAAGCAUGACGGAGCAACGCCGCGUGAGUGAUGAAGGUAUUCGGAUCGUAAAACUCUGUUAUUAGGGAAGAACAUAUGUGUAAGUAACUGUGCACAACUUGAAGGUACCUAAUCAGAAAGCCACGGCUAACUACGUG
rnacentral:rRNA from 1 species